rnacentral:misc_RNA from 1 species
GGCAAAUGUCUCUCAUUGUCCGUAACCCUGUACAGAAAUAAAAACUUUUUUCCAAGAAACUAUGAUUUGCUAAUGCCCUCAAAUUUUUAUUUAUUGCUCAAACUGCAAGUAUAUAAAGAAACACUCAUUGUCUCAAUCUUUUUUUGCCCCCCCCCCCCCCCCCCCCCUUCCUCAUUCGAUAUCUACUGGCUAGCUAUAGUGGGUGUUAAAUUUUAUACAGGCCUGUUUGGCUAAUUGUUACUUAUAUACAUCUAUUGUAUAAUACCAUUUUAUGAUUUUUGUUUAUUCUUAUAUACAUGUCUAUAAAAGUCUGUUUUAAAUUUGACAUUUGAAAACUGAUGAACUUGUCCUUUAUGAAAAUAAUUAUUUACAUUUACUGUGUAUUAUCUGCUUUAUUUCUUAGUCAACUAAUUUGUAUUCAAAAUAUCAAACUAGUUAGAUUAAGUAUAUCAAAGUCAUUUACCAAUCAAUAGAUAUACAUGUGUACAUGUAUAUUCAUUGUACUUUUAUAAGAAUACAUGUCCAGUGUACUUUUAGAAAAUAAGCAAACAUUUUCCAUGUUUAUUAAAUUGAAAUUGAAAUAUAAUGUACACACAUAGACUUUUUCCUUAUUAAUCAAUGGACUCAUCAAGCAUUUAAAACAUGGAACGUUAUAAGGCCAAAGAUGUAAGUCGUAAUUUUCUUAUAUGGAUGAAUUGUCUCUUCCUACAUGAUUGUGAACUGAUUAAUCACUUCUCACUGUUAAUGAGUAAUUUAAAAAGUAAAGAUUUGUAUGGUAUAUAUAUAUAUAUAUUAACAAUUAAAUUAAAGCCUUAAAAUUCUUCUUGAGUUCAAGUAGGAUAUAAAUGUUGUGACAAUUACAAAAAUCUUACAUAACCUGCCUUUGCACAUGUAUAUGUACUAGGUAUUUAUUCUUGCAAUACAUGUACAUACAAGUGGGUAUGCAGUACCCACAUGGAUAAACAAAGAAAGCAUUUAUCGAUGAUGUGUUUAAUAUUUAAGUGUAUGAUGAAUGCAUAUUCAUUAAAAUUUACAUUCAUGUUGUGAUUUUACUCGAAGGAGAGUUCAAUAAAUUUUAAUGAAAAUCUC